AACGAACGCUGGCGGCAUGCCUAACACAUGCAAGUCGAACGAGACCUUCGGGUCUAGUGGCGCACGGGUGCGUAACGCGUGGGAACCUGCCCUUAGGUUCGGAAUAACUCCCCGAAAGGGGUGCUAAUACCGGAUAAUGUCUUCGGACCAAAGAUUUAUCGCCUUUGGAUGGGCCCGCGUUGGAUUAGCUAGUUGGUAGGGUAAAAGCCUACCAAGGCGACGAUCCAUAGCUGGUCUGAGAGGAUGAUCAGCCACACUGGGACUGAGACACGGCCCAGACUCCUACGGGAGGCAGCAGUGGGGAAUAUUGGACAAGGGGCGAAAGCCUGAUACAGCAAUGCCGCGUGAGUGAUGAAGGCCUUAGGGUUGUAAAGCUCUUUUACCCGGGAUGAUAAUGACAGUACCGGGAGAAUAAGCUCCGGCUAACUCCGUG
rnacentral:rRNA from 1 species